AGUUAUUUAGCUUAUAUUUUAAAGCAUGUAUUUUGAAAGUACAUUAAAGAGUUUUUUAUUAACUU
rnacentral:tRNA from 1 species